AAUUGCUAUUUCAGUAAAUGCUACAUACAAAUGAAAUCUAUAAAAUUUUAAAGUGCAAUUUUUUUUUGGGGCAACUAUCAAACUAUUCUGUUGCAGUUUUUUGCAGUUAUAUAAACUGUUAGAAAAAUGUUACAGUAUGCGGUAAAAGGUCAGGAAACAUUUCUUGUGGUUAUUUGAAGUCAAACUGCAGUCAUCAUAGAUGUAAAAUGAAUUCUAUAUUGAGACAUGGUAAAUACCUAAGGUAGUAUGUUCAUAUUAUUAGUUGGACCAACAAACGAUAAAAUGUUUUUAUUAAAUUGUCAAGUGGAGAGUUAUUAUUCUAUCUCUUAAAUAACUUAUCACUAGGGUACUGUGGAUUCAUUUGUUUUAGUGGGUUCCAUUUUUCUUGGAUAUUUAAUUUCAUGGUUUUGCCAAAGUCUGUUUAUCAGCCUAUAUUUGAAUUUGGGGUUCCAAAAAUAAUAGGAAUUUUUUACAUAAUAAUUUUAGUUAAUAAAAAGACAAAAAUGGGCCAUAAUAUAUGUUCAUUUACUCCUAUGAAAUUCAAUUUAAAGUAGUUAAGUAUACUGUAUAUAACUGUUCUGUAGAAUUAUCUCUUCUAUUAAAUCAAUGUCUACUUAUUUUAUUAUGAAUUUAUCUGUAUAUUGUAAAUAAACUUUUGCUAUAGAUCAAUAAAGUUACAAAUGAGUUAUAUAUCUAGAUCUAAAUAUACAGAUAUCACCAAAAAUUCUGCCAAUCAAUUGUGUUUCUAAGAUUUGAAUAAUACUAACAUGCUACUAUGGGAUGAUAUAUUUUAUUUGCUCAAUUUAUGUCAACAUGAUAUAUGUUCCUUAUUGUAAGAAGUAUUAGAAAUAG
rnacentral:lncRNA from 1 species